AAGCAGCCUGCCCAGUAGGUCCCUCUUCAGUCUCCAGGUAAUGUACAAAUGUAAGGUUUGUCAAAGGACAAAGGAACUGGGGCGCCUUCAGCACCGGACUCCGGGUACCUGGACUGCAGGAGCUGCUCAGAACAGAAAGGCGAAAGGCAGAACCAUUUUACCCGCUCUGUGCAGCAGUUUCUGACACCGCCCUACAGUUCUAAUAAUCCGCUGGAAGACUGCCUCCCAGAAACGAAUCUGCCCACUCUGACAGCUCGAUUGAGGGUGAUUGAUGACUAUCUGGAGACCACAGUACACAUAAUACAAUAUCUGCUGCGUAAUUACUUUAAUUUACAGAUGAAAAUACUAGUUGUAGGAUUGGGUUAGACUAUAACAAGCGGUGUCCUACGGCAUCUUAAAUAGUUCCCCCAAAACAAAUAGAUACAGUAAAUGCAAAUUAUUCAGACAGUUUAGUGUCUGUAGCCGGGAGAAAUGCUUAAAAAACAGCAGUCAAAUGACAUUAAUACUUGUUUUUGAAUUCCGUAUUGAUUUCUUGAGAGAGUGUGUUUAUUCUUUUCUCACCUGCGAUGCUAAUAUCACCUUCUUUCUAUGAAUAAUAAUAAACUAGCCAGUGGGGCUUAUGCUACAAUGAAA